rnacentral:tRNA from 1 species
GAGGUCGUGGCUAAGCGGUAGAGUGCUCGCCUAGCAUGUGCGAGGCCCUGGGUUCAAUCCUCAGCGCCACA